UUCACCUGUAGCUAGAACUUCGCUAGAACUAGUUAUGAUGGCCUCUUGUAGUCGUUUUUCUCGACUGCAUGCCCUUAGGUGCUUAGCAUUGUAAUCCCCUCCUGCUAUACACUUGGGGCCCAAUGUGAUCAGUAGCUGAUCAAAAUCGUUUUUAGUCCAACUUAUUUGGACGAAGAUACAGAGAAGCUAUUUUGAUAAUACCACCACUCGUUGGUACAUCGAGACUGGUGACUUGUAAAUCAGUGCGCAUUGUUGAUUUAUUUUGAUUGUGGCGAAUAUUGGCUUUGAUGAAGAUUGCAGAACCGUCUUUUGCGGUGUUACUUGGAUGAUUGGCAUAAUAUUGUUCAUAGCCAGGAGUGUAUACUUUUAGUCCAGGGCGCAUAUGAGUUUCAGUAAUAAGCAUGAUGUCUAUGUGAGCAAUAAGAAAAAGUCGAAGUUCUUUAUUCUUCUGUACUAAUCCUCUUGCGUUUCAUAAUCCGAUUUUUAAGUUUAAGACUAUCAUUUUGUAGAAAUCAGAACGUGGACUAGAUCACGAAAAGCUUUGUUGGACUCAAUUGUUUCCAUGACUAAUUUAAAAAUUUGAUCUAAUCUGGUUAAUGUCCAAGAUUGCCUUCUCGAGAAUGGCAAGGUUCCUGUUAGAGUUGUAUUGCUCCCCAGUAUUUAGAGUGAUUGUGUUCUUAGCAGGAACGCUGUAGUUGUUUUCAGCUUUAGUUCUUGUUAUGUCAGCAUAGGAGUCUCCAUUUCUGACAGCUGACGACGACGCGUAUUGUACAUGGCGGAUUUCAUUAUUUCUGUUAAUGGUGUAGUUGGGUGGUCUAGGCCCUGGCUUUAAUUUUUUACUCAAUUCUAUUCUGACUUUGCAGCCUUCAAAACUGGCAGGGUGAUUCUCCAUGCAGUUUGCACAUACUUAAUGAUUGUUUAGGUGUGUCUCACAUGAUUUAGAACCGGUAGGAUGCUCACCCACACAAUUCCCGCAAACUGGGCUUAAAUGACAGCGAUUCCGGGUGUGGCCAAAAUUUUGUCAAUUGCAACAUUGAGCUAUGUCCUUGUUGCGAGUAUCCUUCUCCACUGUAACCCUGUGCCUUCCAAUACGGCUUACUUUUAGAGACUCGGCCACAUUCGGAGUCGGCUUAAGAUUUACAAAGAACAGAUUUUGUCUAGUUUGUGCGAUAAUGGCUUCUUCGUCGUCAUUUCCACCAGCCAAGAUUUUAUUCCAGCCAGGCUUCCCUGCGGAGUAGAUGUUCAGUACAACGAAGCCUUUGUCUGUGAAGCAGCGUUCUAUUUCUUCUCUUGGAACAGUUGAGUGUAUGUUCUUCAGCACCAGCCUAUAUGGUUUUUCCCACGGAGUUGAUGAUGCCAAAACUGGCAAUUCAGGGCAGUCAAGUUACGAACCACACUUCUGAAUGAUGUUGCAUCUGCUGUGUAGAUUCGAGAGAUUCCUGAUCUGGAGCAUUUUUAAAGUUCUAAAGACGACUCGAGGAACUUCUUUCACCGUGCGAUAACGUAAUGAAUUAUAUCGACGACUUAAUAAUUUUUGGAAACAGCGAACAGGAACAUGAUGCUGCUGUCGAAAAAGUUCGUAAUGUGUUUAAAGAAUAUAAUAAUACUCUUAAACGAUGAAAAAUGUGUUUGGAAGACAAUCAAAACUAAAUUUUUGGGACACAUCUUAACAAAUAAAGGCUGAUCCUGAAAAAAUAGCUGCUAUCGGCUCCUUUCGAGCACCCAAAAAUAAAGAGGAGACGCGGAGUUUCCUACCUACGUGGGAAAAUAUAUUCCAGACCUGGCCGAUUUGACGGAACCACUGCGUGAGUGGUUAAAGAAGUGUGAGAAAUUUAUCUGGGGACCAGUUCAAGAUCAGGGGUUUCAAAAACUUAUGUCAGCGUUAGCUAAAAUCCCAAGUCUUUCUUAUAUUGACCCCAAUAGUAAAACUAGAUUCAUAGCAGAUCCAACCCCUUAACUUUGGGGGCAGUAUUAUUACAACCCAAAAAUAAUUGAAUUUUCUAGUCGAGGCUCAACCGAGGUGGAGAAACUAUACUCCCAAACUGAGAAAGAAAGCUUGGCAUUGGCUUGGGCAGUAGAGAGAUUUUAUUUUUACUUACUGGGAUUGGAGUUUGAAUUAGUGACCGACCAUAAGCCCCUAGAGACAAAUUUAAACCAACAUCAAAACCGCCAGCACGGAUUGAAAGAUGGCUAUUGCGCCUCCAGGCUUAUAAAUUUAAAGUUAUAUACAAAUCCGGGAAAGAAAAUAUUGCUGACAGUUUAUCACGGCUGUGUGAACAGACACCAUCAGAGUGUUACGAUAUUACGGGACAGCAUACUCUUAAUAAUUAACAACGCUGGGUACCGCACUCAUGGCGAAGAAAUCGUUGACGCAAUGAUGUGCCUCUAACAGGGUUCUUGGAACUCUGCACUAUCAAGUAAACUGUACCCAUUCCGACAUGAACUGUCAGUGGUGGGAACAAUUAUGUUGAGGGGAGUUCGCAUUUUUAUUCCAUCUAACCAUAUGCAGAAAGUGUUGACGUUGGCAAACGAAGGCCAUCCAGGCGAAUCGGCAAAAAAGAACCAAAGUGUUGUGGCCACAUAUGCCGCCGAUGAAGAAAACUGAAUUUCCGAACGGUCCUUGGCUUGCAGUGGCAACAGACUUGCUGGGCCCAUUGCCAAAUAACGAAUACAUCUAAGUCAUAAUCGGUUAUUAUUCAAGAUAUAUGGAACUCAAGUUUUUGCGAUCUAUUACGUCAGCGUCACUUAUUGACACGUGUAGACGCGUGUUCUUUAGACUUGGGUACCCAAAACAGCUGCGGACUGAUACCGGUCGACAGUACGUAAAAACAAACAAACGUCUGAAAAUAGCGCAUCUGCACAAAAGGAAUCUUAAGGAUGAAAUUCGAUCGUUCACGUUCAUUUAUAAUGUCACUCCUCAUGGAACGACAGGCACAGCUUCAACUAAUGAGUUAAUGUUUAAUCGAGUCAUUCGAGAUAAGAUCCCAGGCAUACAAGAUUUGGUAGGCAAAUUUAUUGAGAGACUGUAUAUUUAAGAAAAAGGGAAAGGAAAUUGCAGACAACCAAAGUUGAGCAAGAGAAGCAGAUAUCAGCGUAGGAGACAAAGUGGUCCUUAAAAAUGUAGUUUUUCCCCACAAGCUUACUCCGAACUUCGACACUACUGACUACGAAGUGGUGGAGACGAAAGGAAAUAUAGUGAAAGUUGUAGGGCAGGGCCGAACCCUUAUGAGGAAUGUAAGUCAUCUUAAAAAGCUUCCCCAUCGGAGUACACAGUCCGAGGCGCCUAACAUUGACCCCUUACCUAUGCUUAAUGCGGGUCAGACUCUGGAUCCUGAAGCACGACCAAGCUUGCCGACCCCGGAAGAGAACGAGCCACACAACAUGGAUACCCUGAAGCUGAAGCUGGUGGGAAAGGAAGGGAUGUGCGAGCCAGCACCAUGAUGCUGAGCGAAGAUCGACGGCCAACACUCUCUCUCUCGCGCUCGCGCUUUCGCUCUAUGACGGUACUCUAUUGAUAUUCAUAAUAACUCUUUACUUUAGUUUAGUUUUGACUCUGGCGAAGUAAGCUAGCAUACUAAAGUUAAAUUAAAAAAAGAAGUUGAUAAUCCGAAAA